UUAAAAGAUAGUUUCAACAUAUAAAAGUUUUAUAGAGAAAAGCUGAAAUAUAAACAUCGUCUCAAAUCCAUCUAGUACAUAAGAGUUUAUCAGAACGCAGCCCGUACAUCAAGUCCCAAAACUGAAAUUAAAGACAAAAGGGAAAUCAAGCUCGGUCCUCAAAAUAUGAGGACUCACCACAACUUGAAAUCUCUUUAACAACCUCUAGCCACGAAAUUGAGAACCCUGAAUGUCAGAUCCUACAUUUGAGAAAAUGUAGGCAAGAGUAUACAUUAGUACAAAAAUUCACCAAGUAUGAUAGUCAUGCAUAAAAGUAUGAAAUCAUGCUAAAUCGGACAUUUUCAUGAUAUUCAAAGACCAAGUCAAACAUAAGAUAAGAAGGUCAGAAACAUAAAACGAAAUCAUGAUCAAUGCAAGAUAAACCGUCUUUGAACACAUGUGAGAUACUUCUUGAAGUAACCUUAGUUCAUUAUUAUUGCAAAAAUUAGCCUUAACUGACAUAAAUACCAUGUGAGCUAUAACAUGAUCCCUUGGUGUCUCCCACACCGAAAAGGGUUGUCCUACUUUCCAAGGUAGAACCAUGAAUCUGAGCUAAAGUUGAUCCACUAGUUAAUUUCUAUUUAGACAAUCAUCCAAUGGGGGCACAUAGGUAAGGGAUAAGGAUAUUGCUUUUAGAAACCCGACCUCAACACAGAAGAGCUUCCAUCUCAAUAUCAUCUUGGUUCUAAACAUAAAUCCCACGGAGUAGUUAUUAAUCUUAACUUGUCUCGUGAUCCAUGGAAAGGCAUAAUUAAGUAGCCAAUCCAAGCUAAAAUCAUAUUAUCAUCCAUGGAAAGGUGCAAUUAAGCAACCAAACCAAGAUAGAGUCAUAGUAUAGCUCCUUAGACCAUGCAUGAGAAAACCUUUCACCAUCCAUGAUCUUUUCAUAAUAGCUUCUAAGGCCCACAUUCAUUCACUUUAUGCUAGAGAUGCCCUACUAAUACUAAUGGAAAUAGUUUUGAAAUUGUGGCCUAUAAUCAUUGAUCACAUAUGCGGAUACCAUACUAGUUAAAACCUAAUUUAGGAAAAUAGCUCGAAAACUAUUGAGGGCAAAUCUAGAUGUCAUUCAUGUCAUCUGGCCAAGAUUCAUAGAACAUAUAGACAAUCUCAUCUAUAAGAUUUCUUGAGUAAUAAACAUAACUUAUAAACAUGCAUUCUUUUUAAUAAUUCAUAAGCUUCAUCAUAUUUUCAAAGUCAAAGCAUCUUCAAUUCCAUAACAACAAUCUCAUCAAAAGGACAUGCAUAUUUUCAUAAAUUCAUCUUUCAUAUUUCAUGACCCACAUUAUGUCGAUAGAUGAAAGUCGGAGGUAAAGCUCUUAGCGCACGAUAGAAAAUUAGGUAACGUUCUCAGCGCACGAUAGCAAGGAAGCAAUUGUACCUGAGGAUUCUUCCAAUGGGAAGUCGGUGAGCUCCGAUGAACACAAGCAUUGCAAAAAAAUGGACACGCUUGUUACAGAUGUUAUACAGAAGUUGCAACCAUUAACUUUUGGUAGCUUCCUACCAUCAAAAUUCAAAGCAAUUCCAGAGGAGACUGAUACUAGUAGCAAUGAAGAUGAGAUGCUGGGACAUUUGCGCAACCUACCCCUGUAGCUCCUAGGUCUGUUAGAGGUAAUCAAAAUACUGGUAAGUCUCUGAAAUUCAUACCUCUAGCCACAAAUGACUGUCAAGUUACCAAGGUAUGGGGAUUUGUUAAUAAACCUCGGGUCCUAUUGCAUGAGGAUGGCUACUACAUAUUCAGAUUUCAAAUUGUAGAAGAUAGGGAGAAGGUGCUUCAAUCAAGACCCUAUUUCUAUAGGAAUAAACCUGUAAUCUUAUGACAAUGGGAGAUAGAUUUUGAUUUGGAAGAAUAUAUGAUUAGGCAAAUUCCUAUUUGUGUCAAAUUUCCUAAGUUGCCAGUAGGUUACUGGUCUGUGGAAGCGUUCAGCAAAUUCGCUAGUGCAGUUGGGAACCGUUUGCAUACUGAUAAUUUUACAGCAAAUGCAGAAAAGAUUUCAUAUGAUAGAAUUCUCAUAGAAGUGGAUGUUUCUCAGCCUUUUCCAGAUUGUAUAGCUAUUGAAACACCCUCUGGACCAUGGACGCAGCCAGUUGAAUAUGAAUGGAGACCUAAAUUUUGUGAUGAGUGUAUACGACUGGGUCACACUACUGGGAGUGCUGGUAUAAACAUGAAGCUGAUAUGGAGGAGAAAGGAGCACCAGUGAUAACCAAGAGGAAGAGAGGUAGAGGAAGGAAAAUUCCAAAAGAAAAAUGGAUCCCUAUUCUGGGCAAAGUAAAUUAGCCUGAGGUAUCAGUGGCAGCAAAGCAAACUGAAACUACUCAAACUUCUGCACUGAAUGUAGAUCCAGGACAAAGAGAUAGGAAGCAAAUUGUGGAGAACUCGUAUGAGAGCUAUGAGGAUAAGAAAGGAUUAUCUGAGGUAGUUCAUGGUGGAAUAAAUAGUGCUAGAAACUCCAUGCCAUUUGUUCCUCCAUGAUUAUCUCUACAUGAAAUAUAAGGGGCCCUAACCAAGGCCAUAAACAGAAGGAGUUGAAGCUCUUUCUGACAAAACAUAAAAUAGAUAUAUUUGGAUGUCUGGAAACAAGAGUUAAACAGCCUAGAGCCCCACAUAUUAUGAGGAAGAUAUCUUAGGGUUGGAAGUCAUGUAAUAAUUACUUAGAAGAACCUAACAGAAGAAUUUGGGUAUUGUGGAAACCUCACUUGCGCGUACAGAUCAUUGAGAUGAAAAGGUAAUAUAUUCACUGCUUAGUUGAGGAUCCUGGGGUUCAAAGCACAUUAUAUGUCACAAUAGUAUAUACAAGGAAUGAAGGACAUGCAAGGAAUGAAGGACAACAAAAAGAGAUACUUUUGCAAGAAUUGAUGCAGAUUAAACCACAGCUCAGAUCCCUUGGGUAUUAUGUUGUGACUUUAACAGUGUAUUGAGGACUGCAGAUAGAAUAGGAUCACCUGUUACAAACAGGAAGUACAAUUCUUUCAGAGUAUGGUAGAUCAUAUGCACCUCACUCCUAUUAGAGAUACUGUAUGGCACUUUACUUGGUCUAAUAAGCCGGAGGUAGAGAAUAGAGUAUAUAGUAAGAUAGAUUGGGCAUUUGGUAAUCUUCAUUGGAUACAACAGUAUGGACAUAUGGAGUUUGACUACCUUAAUCCUUCGGUAUCUGAUCAUUAUCCAAUUUUGAUAAAGUGCUCCCAGCAACAAACAUUACAUCACAGGCCUUUCAGAUUCUAUCCUCAUGUGAUGGAUCAUCUAGAAUUUAAAGAAGUACUACAGACCACUUGGUGACAACAUAAUCCAGAUUGUACAUGAAACCAGGGGCGGAUCUAUGUGGACAGGUGGGGGUGCCACGGCACCCAGUGAUCUCGGAGAAAAACGUCGUUUAUAUAUGUAUAUAUGCAUAAUAAUUCAAUAUAUAUUACUUUUGCCACCCACUGACUGAAAUGCAGAACAGCUCAAUUGGCGAAGGAGUUGGUCUGCCACACAGCCAACGCGGGUUCGAACCUCACUGCCAACACUUAAUUUUUUGCUUGCUCCUUUUCUUCUUUACUUUUCUUUUUUGUCUUUUUCAUUAGUAUGUAAAGGUGCUUAAUUUAUUUUUUUUCUCCAUUCAUUCUAAUUAUUUACUAUUCUUUAUUAAUUCAAAUUGACUCCUUUUCAUGAUUAAUUUUUAGUUCUUCUUUUCUUUUUCAUCAGUAUGUAAAGGGCUUAAUUUUUUUUUCUCCAUUCAUUCUAAUUUAUUUACUAUUCUUUAUUAAUUCAAAUUGACUCCUUUUCAUGAUUAAUUUUUAAUUGUUUUUGUUUACUUUCUCUUGCACUAAUUAUUAAUCUCUUGAUAUGGGUGUUACAUGUUUAUUUUUAUCAAUUAAAAUAAAUAUUAUUAAGAAUAUAUUCAAAUAGUAAUUUUUUAAAAUAUGUUUUAAAAAUGAUGAUUAUUAUUAUUAGAGUUUUUUUUUUUUUUUAAAUAAAGGUUCUUUCAAUCUUCACCGACGUUCUUGCUAAGUAAGAUGACUAGGCUGAAACUACAAUUUUUAUUAUUUCCCUACUAUAUAUCUCCAACAACACAUAAAGUCAAUGUAAUAUGAAUAUAUUAUGUUAAUACUAUUAGAUGGUUUAUACAAGCUCAAAUUUUAAUGUGAAAAAUCUUUUUUUUUCUCAAAGUUUUAGCAAAUAAGACAUCUAAUUCCAAAAAGGGAAAAAAUUGAACUGUUUAGUUAUCUCUAAUCUCAGAAUAUCUAAAGAAAUAUUACUAACAUGCAUAUUUGAUCGAUUUGUUUAUAAAAAAUAAAUCAGUAACCCGAAUUGUAACCCAAAAUUAAAGCAACCGAUCAUUUUAUCUUACUUGAACGUUGUGGCACCCACGACCUCCAAAUCCUAGAUCCGCCCCUGCAUGAAACACCUAUGGGAUAAACUCAAGACGGUGAAGACAUAAAUGAAGAAUAUAAAUGCAUACAUGACUUCUUACAAGCAGAAACUCAGUUUGUCAAGGGAGAAAUUAGAAAUUAUACAAGGGCAAAUCCAAGGGCAAUUAUUUUCACAUAUAUUAUUUGACCAGGAGAAUCAGUAUUGAUAGAAGUCCAAAAAUGGAGCAACAUUGAUGAGCAAGUGUUGAGGAAGAAGGCUAGAGCUACCUGGAUAGAACAUGAAGAUACAAAUACACAAUAUUUUCAUGCCCAAUAGAAAAUUAGAACUAGCCAUAAUACAAUCACUUCAAUUAACACUGAGGUUGGUAUAAAGCUUACUGAACCAAGGCAGAUUGAAAAUGAGUUCAUCUUUAUUUUUAAAGGUUUAAUGGGGACCAUAGAAUAUAUAUUGCCAUGUCUAAAUACUCUGGUGGUCAAAACUGGAGUGUGCCUAAAUGUGCA
rnacentral:lncRNA from 1 species